GCUAAUCUACUCCAGAAGCAUCUGAUAAAAUUGUAACUGUACAGAGUAGAUUAGCUGGGCCCCUGUGCAAUGAUGACAUGCCCUGAUUAAGUUAAGAAAAGGCUUUUG
rfam:Cucumis melo, WGS project CAJI01000000 data, contig: 04806